rnacentral:rRNA from 1 species
GAUGAACGCUGGCGGCGUGCCUAAUACAUGCAAGUCGAGCGAACGGACGAGAAGCUUGCUUCUCUGAUGUUAGCGGCGGACGGGUGAGUAACACGUGGAUAACCUACCUAUAAGACUGGGAUAACUUCGGGAAACCGUAGCUAAUACCGGAUAAUAUUUUGAACCGCAUGGUUCAAAAGUGAAAGACGGUCUUGCUGUCACUUAUAGAUGGAUCCGCGCUGCAUUAGCUAGUUGGUAAGGUAACGGCAUACCAAGGCAACGAUGCAUAGCCGACCUGAGAGGGUGAUCGGCCACACUGGAAGUGAGACAGGCUCCAGACUCCUACAGGAGGCAGCAGUAGGGAAUCUUCCGCAAGGGGGGAAAGCCUGACGGAGCAACGCCGCGUGAGGGAUGAAGGUCUUCGGAUCGUAAAACUCUGUUAUUAGGGAAGAACAUAUGUGUAAGUAGCUGUGCACAUCUUGACGGUACCUAAUCAGAAAGCCACGGCUAACUACGUG